rnacentral:rRNA from 1 species
GCCAUCAUUUAAAGAAAGCGUAAUAGCUCACUGGUCGAGUCGGCCUGCGCGGAAGAUGUAACGGGGCUAAACCAUGCACCGAAGCUGCGGCAGCGACGCUUAUGCGUUGUUGGGUAGGGGAGCGUUCUGUAAGCCUGUGAAGGUGUACUGUGAGGUAUGCUGGAGGUAUCAGAAGUGCGAAUGCUGACAUAAGUAACGAUAAAGCGGGUGAAAAGCCCGCUCGCCGGAAGACCAAGGGUUCCUGUCCAACGUUAAUCGGGGCAGGGUGAGUCGACCCCUAAGGCGAGGCCGAAAGGCGUAGU